UACGGGGGGGGCACGCGUUGUUCGGAAUUACUGGGCGUAAAGGGCUCGUAGGCGGCCAACUAAGUCCGACGUGAAAUCCCCAGGCUUAACCUGGGAACUGCGUCGGAUACUGGAUGGCUUGAAUUCGGGAGAGGGAUGCAGAAUUCCAGGUGUAGCGGUGAAAUGCGUAGAUAUCUGGAGGAAUACCGGUGGCGAAGGCGGCAUCCUGGACCGACAUUGACGCUGAUGAGCGAAAGCUAGGGGAGCAAACGGG
rnacentral:rRNA from 1 species